rnacentral:sRNA from 1 species
UGACUGGAGGGCAGGCCGCAGCUGAUGC